rfam:Ovis aries breed Texel chromosome 15, whole genome shotgun sequence.
UCCUGUAGCUCAGAGGGUAAAGAAUCUGCCUGAAUUGCAGGAGAUCCGGGUUCGAUCCCUGGUUCAGGAU